CCUACGGGUGGCAGCAGUGAGGAAUAUUGGUCAAUGGGCGUAAGCCUGAACCAGCCAAGUCGCGUGAGGGAUGAAGGUUCUAUGGUUCGUAAACCUCUUUUAUAAGGGAAUAAAGUGUGGGACGUGUCCUAUUUUGUAUGUACCUUAUGAAUAAGGAUCGGCUAACUCCGUGCCAGCCGCAGCGGUAAUACGGAGGAUCCGAGCGUUGUCCGGAUUUACUGGGUUUAAAGGGUGCGUAGGCGGCUUUUUAAGUCAGCGGUGAAAGUCUGUGGCUCAACCCUAGAAUUGCCGUUGAAACUGGGGAGCUUGAGUAUGUUUGAGGCAGGCGGAAUGCGUGGUGUAGCGGUGAAAGGCGUAGAUAUCACGCAGAACCCCGAUGGCGAAGGCAGCCUGCCAAGCCAUGACUGACGCUGAUGCACGAAAGCGUGGGGAUCAAACAGGAUUAGAUACCCGGGUAGUC
rnacentral:rRNA from 1 species